GCCCCCCGCCUCUCCGGGUCCUGGCCCCUGCCAGAGUCUCCGUUCCCCGAGGCCUGGGGACCUGUGCGUUCCGCCGGGGCGAGGCCGACCUGACGGUGUCUGGCCCUCUAGACGGCCAGGGCCAGUGUAUCGGGGCCCCCGGGGGCCUAGUGAGGGGAGAAGGGGGCGGCGGCCCCACCGGGACGACCAAGGGCAUAGUCACCGCGUCUGCAGCCCCUCCCCGCCCUGGCCUCGGGGAGCGGCCUUGCUGUGCGGUCCGGUCCGGGGCGCAUCCAGCCCCCCGGGGACCGGAUCGCGGCACCCCCGCCCCCCUCCCCCCACCCCCACCCCCCCACCCCUUCCUUGCCCGGCGCGCUGUGUGUUCCAGCGACCCUGAGUGCGUCUGGGACAGUUCUCUGUAAAGCAUGGAUCCCACCUCCACACACACACAGGCCUAGUACCCGGUACCCGGGAAAAGGUGUGGUCCCCCUGGGAGAGAGUCCUGCCCGAGUCACCCCGUUCUCCAGGACCAGCUGUGGUUGUCCCUGCCUGUCACCUGGGGAGGUCACAAGCAAGGGCGGCCCCGCAGAGGCAGAGAAAGCUCGUGGCUUCUCUACAAGUGGGUGCCAUCAGGAACCAUCCGUCCCCGUGGCUCUCAGGCUGGACGGCCGCGUGGGAACACCUGGAGGGCUUGUUCAACCUCGCCACGCCGGACUCCACCCCGGAGUCUCUGAUCUUGCAGAUCUGCGGUGGGGCCUGAGAACUUGUGACUCUAACAAGCUCCGGGCUGACGCUGCUGCCACCACCACGGGUCUGGGACCCCCUCUGUGAGGAGCACUGCUGCGGAGACCUGAGACUCACUCCUAGGUCACACGGGUCCACCUGGAGCAGUGCUGGAGGGGACGACACAGGAGGAGCGUCCUGGCUCCUGAACCUGGGUGCGGGCGUCCUGGUCUCACAGGGCCCCUCGGGAACACGUCCUUUGUCUAAAGGGGGGGGGGGGGGGUGGCACGUUCCGGCCCGCGGACCAAGGCAGGCAGGGCCCGCAUUUGUAUGGGCAGA